rnacentral:piRNA from 1 species
GUCCCACUUGGCCACCAACAUACGGUA